CAAACUAUCGGUAUCUGCGUUUAUAAUGGCCGAUAAAUUAAUAUUUAAAAAAAUAAAAUAAAAACGGACGAAACCCCCUUCAACCAUGUUCUGAGUGUUGGCGUUGCAGAGUUUGACCACCAGAGGACGCUCUACAACCUCCCUGUUGGUAAACACUGUUUUUUUUAAAU